rnacentral:tRNA from 1 species
GCAGUGGUAGUUCAGUGGUAGAAUUCUUGUCUUCCACACGGGAGACCCGAGUUCAGUUUCCAGCCAACGCA